rnacentral:rRNA from 1 species
AGUGAACGCUGGCGGUAGGCCUAACACAUGCAAGUCGAACGGCAGCACAGUAAGAGCUUGCUCUUACGGGUGGCGAGUGGCGGACGGGUGAGGAAUACAUCGGAAUCUACUUUUUCGUGGGGGAUAGCGUAGGGAAACUUACGCUAAUACCGCAUACGACCUACGGGUGAAAGCAGGGGAUCUUCGGACCUUGCGCGAUUGAAUGAGCCGAUGUCGGAUUAGCUAGUUGGCGGGGUAAAGGCCCACCAAGGCGACGAUCCGUAGCUGGUCUGAGAGGAUGAUCAGCCACACUGGAACUGAGACACGGUCCAGACUCCUACGGGAGGCAGCAGUGGGGAAUAUGGGACAAUGGGCGCAAGCCUGAUCCAGCCAUACCGCGUGGGUGAAGAAGGCCUUCGGGUUGUAAAGCCCUUUUGUUGGGAAAGAAAAGCAGCAGGUUAAUACCCCGCUGUUCUGACGGUACCCAAAGAAUAAGCACCGGCUAACGUCG